rnacentral:lncRNA from 1 species
GUAUGAUUUUUAUUUUUACUUUGGGCCCAGCCCGGUUUAAUAUCCUUAUGCAUGAUCUGGAUGAGGGGACUGAGUGUAUCUUCAGUAAGUUUACGGAUGACACCGGGACAGGAAGAGGUAUCCAUCUGCCUGAGGAUAGGAUGGCCCUACAGAAGGAUCUGGACAGGCUGGGUCACCGGGCUGAGGCCAAUCCUAUGAGCUUCAACAAGACUGAGUGCCAGGUCCUGCACUUUGGUCACAACAACUUUGUGCAAUGCUGCUGCCUUGGGGCAGAGUGGCUGGAAAGUUGCACAGAAGAAAAGAAUCUCAGGAUGUUAGUUGACAGCCAGCUGAGCAUGAGCCAGCAGCGUGUCCAGGUGGCCGAUAAGGCCAAUGGCAUCCUGCCUUGUAUCAGAAAUAGUGCAGUCAGCAGGGCAGGGAGAUUCUGUACUCAGCACUAGUGGGCCGCACCUCAAGUACUAUGUUAGUUUUGGGGCCCUCACUACAAGAAAGACAUUGAGGCCCUGAAGCAUGUCUAGAGAAGGACAAUGAAGCUGUGAAGGAUCUGGAGCACAAAUAUUAUGAGGAGCAGCUGAGGGAAUCGGGAUUGUUCAGUCUGGAGAUGAGGAGGCUCGGGGAAGACUUCAUCACUCUCUACAACUCCCUGAAAGGAGGUUGGGGUGAGGUGGGGAUCGGCCUCUUCUCCUGCAUCGCUAGCGAUAAAGGCAAGAGGGAAUGACCUUAAGUUGCGUCAGGGGAGGCUCAGGAGAUUAAGAAAAAUUUCUUCUCCAGAACAUGGUGAGACAAGAAGCCUGCCAGCACUGUCAUUAGAACCAGCAGCGUGUGCAUACCGAGCGUGUGGCCUGUACUCCCUGCACUUAUAUCCUGAGACCGUACUUAAUGUUGACUAUUGCAGCUCUUGAAUCAUACCAUUGGCUGGCUGUGCUGUGUAAUCAGUAUUCUGUUGAUUAUUUAUGGCACUUUCCAAACAGAUUUGCAUUAUACCCUCAUGUUGAAUAUGAGGAACGUAGGCACGUGACUCCACUUCAUAGGAUGAACAUUGUACAUCAUUGGAGUGCCCAAGUCUUUUUCUGAAUUUACAUACAAGAUACUAAGUAGAGGAAAAAACAAAACAA